UUAGGAUUUAGGAUUUGGUUUAGGAUUUGAUAAGGGUUUGGUUUAAGAUUUAUUUAGGGUUUGGUUUAGGGUUUAGGAUUUGGUUUAGGAUUUAGAGUUUGAUUUAGGAUUUAGGAUUUUAUUAGGAUUUAAAAUUCAAUUAGUUUUGGCCUAAAUUUUGAAUGAAGUUCAAUAGGAUUUUAACUAGAAUUAAAUUAAGAUUGAAUUGAGAUGUAUUUGAGUGAUAUUUGUGAUCAUUCUAAUAUUUCUUUAAGAUUUCUUAUUUUUUGUUUGAAAUUUCUUUGAGGUUUUUUUGAAUUUGAUUAAAGCUUACUUAGCAUUAUUAUGUUCUAAUUAGAGCAUUGUUAGUAUUCUAUUAGAAUUAGG
rnacentral:lncRNA from 1 species